CGCGGGAUGGAGCAGCUAGGUAGCUCGUCGGGCUCAUAACCCGAAGGUCGUAGGCUCAAAUCCUGCUCCCGCAA
rnacentral:tRNA from 1 species